rnacentral:lncRNA from 1 species
UUUGCUCAUUCAUUCUUCCAUAUCCUCGUCAUCCCUGAUCGCCAGAUCAACUUGUUCUGAUAAGUGAACCUGCCCUGGUUAUCACCAUGAAGAAUGACACGACCAUCCAAGGACAAAGCCACUACCGUUAGAACAUAAUUGAAAAGGUUUCCAACAGAAGAGGAUUCCAGUUUGUUUCCCAUAGCAGCCUUUAUUGCUCAAAGGCAUUUUAUGUCAGCCAUGGUUGUUGAUCAUUGCCCGAGAUGAGAAUAAAUUUUAUUUUCUUCGUUGUUGAGGGGGCACUUUGGUAGGAACUUAUGAGAUGGAACUAUCUUGGCAUAUUAUUAGUCCCACUAACAAUGACCCAGGCCCCAGGUUCAAAUCCAGCAGGAAGGCAAGUGAAGAACAACCCCUAGAAACAAACAGAAUAGAAGAUCCCAGGGACCAGCUCAGAAGAGGCUAGAGUGCAGAAGUUCCCUAAUGGAAUGUUCAAGCAUCAUAACCACUCAAGAGUAGUACAAAACAAAAAAGGAAGUCAUAACUCAUACGGCAUUAUGAUAUAAACCAUAAAAAUCUUUUGUAUAUGUAAACACCAGAAAAAGGUGAAACAUGUCCCACAUGUUUGCAGAUAGAAUGGUGGAAGAGGAGACAAGAGGAUGUAGUUUCGGGCCUGUUUGUAACGCAGAUUUCCCCAUAUGCUAUCCAGAACACCAUGCUGGCAGCCCAAUCCACCAACCAUAGCCUAAAUGAACCCCCCACUCAAUUCCCACCCCUUGCUGCUGCCAUUGACCCACCGGCGACUGCUCAAGAAGUCAAGAGUCUCCAUGCCAAUGUGUCAUGACACAGAAAGGGAGGCCCUAGAGAAGUGGAGGUCAGUGCCAACAGUGCAGUUGUCAUCACCACCAUCAGCACCAGACUAGAACCCAUUCCUAAGAUAUCGACUAAGAUUGAUGUUGUAUGCUGAAAAAGAGCUAUAGUAGUAUAGUAGGGAAGACAUAGCAACCAAAUUUGCAACUGACAGAAUGGGCAUAAAGAUAUAUAUAAAUCUGAUUGCUCGUAUCUCUGAGGCUAGACCAGGGAGUAAAAUGGCUGGAAUACACUGUUGAAGCUGCAGAUGGACAGGGAGAAAGAGGGAUGAACGGGCAUACUUCUCAAUGCCAUCCCAACAGAAAGAUUUCCUGUCCAACUCCAAUUCCAAAAAAAAAAGAGUCAAGCUCAUGGCGAUGACAAUGAGGCCUGUAAAUUCCAAAUUCAGCAAACAAAAUAGCCAUUUAUCACUGCUAAAAUCUCAGAUCUCACUUCCAGACACAGAUGCUGCACCAGAUAAUGCACCUGCUGUUUCCCAAGCACACAUCUCGCUAAAGCAUCCAGGCAAGGCACCUAAGGUGGUGGCACUGCACAACAUUGGAACAAGGCUGGCCAUUGCAGAUCUACACAUGUAGAUGACCAGCUCCAAAGAUUUUCAUAGAACUAGAGCUUUGUCAAACAGGGCCGUAGAUCCAACCCCGUUUACACAUGGCAAUAUGGCAUCCUCAAACUCUUAAAGCCAUGCAUACAUGUGAAAACAGUGUUACCCUAAACGCUAAAUGGUAAACAGUCGGUCACUUGUCAUUUAGCCAUUAUUCGGGCUAAACAAACACUUAAACUAACAAAAUAGCCCUCUGAAUGGGAUAAACAAUUGAUUAAAUGGAAACGGCACACUAUCAUGUAGUAUUUAAACGGUAUGUAAACAGGCUAAAUAACCAUUUAGACAAACAGUGGAAAAUUCACACAUGCGUGCGUACACAGAAAGGAGGGAGCGAGGUAGGCGAAGGGCUACUGCUGGCUGCUCAACAUGCACCUAAUGCCAACUUCUGACAUCAGCAUAUAAGCAAAUUUUCUUGAUUGGAAAACUUUGAAGCGGAGAAUAGUUGGCUAGUUGCAAAGAUGGAAGAAGAAAAAAAAGAGGGCUCAGCAUAACCUUUGCUCAAUCAUAGAAACCAAGCCCUACCUUCUCUUGCUGCACAAUUUACCAUCCUAAACCCUAAUGUAAGUGGCACUGGUUGUCACACAUAUCCAAAUGACCUUCCUAGGCAGAACCACAAACAAAAAGGGAUGAUUAAAUGUGCUUCAAGAGAAUAGAGGGUCAGCUCUAGUUACUCGCAGCUGCUUUGAUUGCUCAAUAGCAUGCAAUCAGAAAAGGUAGACAUCAUCGCCCUUCAUCAGCACUCGGUUCACAGGUUCGGGCCCAUUUCCAUGUCUAACACAGUCACCCUAAGUAAAUUUCACUUGCAAUGGCCACUGCCCACUGGGUGCUUACACCCAAGCCAGAAAACCAUCUCUUUAUAUCUCAUCAUCACAUAUCCUGAUCCUAUUCACACUGCCUAUCCAAAUGCCACCAAGGUGGGAGGAUGAGGAGCAGAAGGGCUAGGAACAUUCGGAGCAACGCACACAGAACCACAGGCACGGAUGCAGUAAAGGACAUGGUUGUGCACAUGUACACAUGAUAUAAUCUUCGGAAGGGAUCCCAGCUGCUUUUAUACUUUCUUUCUCUCUUUACAUUUGCAUUGGGAACCCUGUCCUACUUAUUCCUUUCCACAUCCUUCCACCUCCACAUUUGCCGAUUGGCUCGAUUUUCCCAAGUGCACAAAGAUUGGCAGUUGAGACAGGGACUUGUUGGGAGUGGGUUUUGGGAAACUCUUGGAGAUGCUCUUAGUAAGCAUAAUACAUGUAUACACUUCUAAUUAGAUCGGACCUGAAUACAAUAUCCAAAUAGCUUAAGUUAGAGUUUGGGUGCACAGUUUCGCACAGCAGGAAGGGAAGAGAAACCUAGAUGCUCAUCGCCGACGAAGUGCCCGGUUAACACCUGGCGAAGGGUCCAUCGAAGACCCGAGCGCGCGUGCACGCACACACACACACACACACACACACACACACACAGAGAGAGAGAGAGAGAGAGAGAGAGAGAGAGAGAGAGAGAGAGAGCCUGCAAGGUGAUCUGGGGAAGAAAAGGCAGGGAUGAACAGGACAGGAGCACAGCACAGGCAACAGCAGAGGAAGUAGAUCACUACUGCAGCCCCGCCGCUGUUUCUAUCCACGGUUCAUCCAUCCAUCAGGAGUACUGAAUGAGGGCAGCCCCAGCAGACCAAACCCGACUCGUAAGCCGCGUCAGGCACCACCGGACGGUUCCCAGCCCCGCCAGGGAAUGGAAUGGCGGCGAGGCAGCACCGUAGUGAUGGCAGUGUGAAGAGACGGCCGAAACUGAGAAUGGUCCGUGCACGGCCUCGAUUUCCGCAAGACAAAUUUAUUAAGCCUAAUUAAUCCGUCACUGACACAUGUUUAGGGUAGCACCACAUCAUGGACUAAUUAGACUUAAAAGAUUUGUCUCGCAAAAUAGUUGUAAUCUGUGUAAUGCUCCAUACAUGUGUCUAAAGAUACCAUGAGAGAGAGAGAGAGAGCCCGCAAGGUGAGCUGGGGAAGAAAAGGCAGGGAUGAACGGGACAUCCAGAGCACAGCACAGCACAGGCAACAGCAGGGGAAGUAGAUCACCACUGCAGCCCCGCCGCUGUUUCUAUCCACGGUUCAUCCAUCCAUCAGGACUACUGAAUGAGGGCAGCAAAAUGUGUGCAUUUGGUUUUUCUACACAAUUUGAAUUUAAAGAAAAAAAACACUUCACUUAUGGAUCCUACUUUGGCAGCAAUUCAAGCAAAAUAACAAAGCAAACAAUUCAGGAUGUUGCAAAGUAAUAGCUCUAUAGCGUUGGGACGUCUGAUCAUCAGACACUGAAGAACAGUUCCAAACAAGAAAGGAAGGUGAAUAGACAGGCGACAAAAAAACAUCAGAAAAAAAAAACGUAUAGGAACUACCAAAAUGGAUCAAUGCUGCACCUUCCACGGCUAUAAUAGUUGCGAUGGCCUCCUAAGUUCAAACUCAUCCAGCUCCAACUGGAGGAGUGCAUGAUCUCAACAUCUCAUGAAAUUACUGCAAUAAAUUCUGGGAUGAACAAAGUUAACCAAAAAUAUCCGUCAUGCAAACCAAGGACAAUGCAAACACUGAUAGCAGAAUCAACGGCAAAAAUUAGGAAACAUUUCAACCAACAAAUCAAAAAAAUUCAAAUGGGAACACAUAGCAUUAAGACAAGCGCAACAAAAGGAAAAAAGAUACAACGUCCAUCUCUAUUCUUAUUUUUUCUCUUUUUGUGUGUGUGUUUGGGGGGUUGGGGGGCUCAGCUUCGCCUUUGCUCAUUCAUUCAACCAUAUCCUCAUCAUCUCUGAUCACCAGAUCAACUUGUUCUCAUAAAUGAACCUGCCCUGGUUAUCACCCAUGAAGAAUGGCAUGACCAUCCAAGGACAAAGCCACUACCGUUAGAACAUAAUUGAAAAGGUUUCCAAGAGAAAGAAGAGGAUUCCAGUUUGGUUCCCAUAGCAGCCUUGAUUGCUCAAGGCGCUUAUGUCAGCCAUGGUUGUUGAUCAUUGCCCGAGAUGAGAAUAAUUUGUACUUUCUUCAUUCUUGAGGGGCACUUUGGUACGAACUUAUGAGAUGGAACUAACUUGGCAUAUUAUUAGUCCCACUAACAAUGACUCAGGUCCCAGGUUCAAAUCCAGCAGGAAGGAAAGUGAAGAACAAACAGAAUAGAAGAUCCCAGGGACCAGCUCAGAAGAUAGUGCAUAAGUUCUAUAAUGGAAAGUUCAAUCAUCAUAGCCAUUGAAGAGUAGUACAAGACAAAAAAGGAAGUGACAACACACAAGGCAUCAUGAUUCAUGAUAUAAACCAUAAAAAUCUUUUGUAUAGGUAAACACCAGAAAUAAGUGAAAUAUGUCCCACAUGUUUGCAGAAAGAAUUGUGGGAGAGGAGACAAGAGGAUGUAGUUUCAGGCCUCUUUGGAACGCAGAUUUCCCCAUGUGUUCUCCAAACCACCACCCCAUCAGCACCAGACUAGAACCCAUUCCUAGUGGCGCCGCAAGCAACGGCAAGGGAAGGAGAUCACCAAUUGCGCCGCCGCCGUUUCUAUGCAUGGUCUAUCCAUCAAUCUAUCUAUACAUCCAUUAGGAGUUAGGGAAGAAGGGCUGGAGGUGCUGCUGCUGGUGCUGGCUGCUCAACAUGUCCCUAAUGCCAAGUUCUGACAUCAGCAUGUAAGCAAAUUUUCUUGAUUGGAAGAAUUUGAAGCGGAGAAUAGUUGCAAAGACGGUAGAGAGAGAAAAAAAAAGAGAGGGCUCAGCUUCACCUUUGCUCAAUCAUAGAAACCAAGCCCUACCUUCCCUUGCUGCACAAUUUACCAUCCUAAUGUAAGUGGCACUGCACUGGUUGUCACACAUAUCCAAAUGACCUUCCUAGGCAGAACCACAAACAAAAAGGGAUGAUUAAAUGUGCUUCAAGAGGGGAGAGGGUCAGCUCUAAUUAGAUACUUGCAGCAGCUUUGAUUGGUCAAAGGCAUGCAAUCAGAAAAGGUAGACAUCAUCGCCCUUCAUCAGCACUCGAUUCACAGGUUCAGGCCCAAUUCCAUGUAUUACACGGUCACCCAAAGUAAAUUUCACUUGCAAUGGCCACUGGGUGCUUACACCCAAGCCAGAAAAGCACCUCUUUAUAUCUCAUCAUCACAUAUCCUGAUCCCAUUCAGGGCAUCCGCAAGGGAAGAUGAGAGAGAGAGAGAGAGAGAGAGAGAGAGAAGCUCGCGAGGUGAGCUGGGGAAGAAAAGGCAGGGAUGAACGGGUCAUCCAGAGCACAGCACAGCACGGUGUAGGCAACAGCAGGGGAAGUAGAUCACCACUGCAGCCCCGCCGCUGUUUCUAUCCAUGGUUCAUCCAUCCAUCAGGUAAGCCGCAUCAGGCACCACCACACGGUUCCCAGCCCCGCCAGGGAAUGGAACGGCGGCGAGGCAGCACCGUAGAGAUGGCAGUGUGAAGCGACGGCCGAAACUGAGAAUGGUCCGUGCACGGCCUCGAUUUCCACUAGACAAAUUUAUUAAGCCUAAUUAAUCCGUCACUGGCACAUGUUUAGGGUAGCACCACAUUAUGGACUAAUUAAACUUAAAAGAAUCGUCUCACAAAAUAGACGUAAUCUGUGUAAUGCUCCAUACAUGUGUCUCAAGAUACCAUGGGAGUAACAUUAGAGGGAGGAACUAAACAAGGCCUUAGGGCACUCACAAUGCAGACUCUAUCAUAGAGUCUCGCUCAUAUGGUAUUUCGAGCUGUUAUAAUGGCACACAAGUAAAAGCAUCAAUAAUUACUCGCUCCGUUCCAAAUUAGAAGUCGUUGUGCCUUUUGGCACGACGACGGCGAGGACGAGGCGAAGGCCGAAGAGGAGAAGGACGAGGAGGAGGGGGCAGAGACCAUACCAAAACGAAACAUCCGCGACCAAUAUGCUCGAAAGCAAACCCAUCAAUGGCGGCUCAGAUCCCGCGUCGCCCGACCAUGCCCGCGACCGGAAGCCGCCGCGGACCCUGCCCCCACGGUCCCCAACCCCAGCCCCCGCCGCCGCAGCACCGUCGCCCGCACAAGCGUCCGCAAUCCGACGCGGCGCGUCGCGGCGGGGAGAGGGGUGGCCCCGGGGAGGCGCGGAUCCGAGGACGGCCGGCGCUCGGGAGCCGGUCCGGCGCCAACCGCGGCGCCCUUCCUCAUCGCCGCCGUCUUUGUUGCCAGGGCUGUGGGUUUCAGUGGUGUGGUCACGGGCCGCCGCGAGUGGGAACAAGCGGCACGAAUGGCAGAUUUGGAGGGAGUAGCCUCAGAGGGCUCGGCUCGCAUGCUCCGCCGCCGCCGCCGCCGCCGCUGCCCACACGCGGUGGCCUCACACUUAAACUAACGAGUGAGUAUUCUGGUCGGAGACGACGAGGUUUUUAUGCGGGGCUGGGGAGGAGGGGCCCACUCGCACGCGUCCACUGCCAGUCCAUCACCGCUCAUGGCCGAGCAGCCGUGGACCUUUAUUUCGGCCCAAAUCUAACUAGCUUCCUGGUUCAUGGGGCCCAUACGUUAGAUGCUACUCCUACGGAAUUUGGGCAACAAAACAUGUCCAUUUGGUUUUUCUACAGAAUUUGAAUUUGAAGAGAGAAAAAAACACUUCACGUAUGUCUGCAACAACACCAUCCAAUCAUGCCAUUCCGAGAUGAGAGCCAGAGCCGAUGCCUCCAAGGUUGAUGGACCAGAGCUGCCAGCACUAAGCAUGCAGCCGGGACGUCAGUCUCUCUCUACAGUACUGUACUCCCUAGGCCAUGGCCCAUCAUCCCUCACUGUCAUAGUCAAAGGCAGAGGCAGCAUUAAGGCCUUGUUUAAUUCAAACAAAAACUAAAAACUUUUCAAAAUUUCCUGUCACAUCGAAUUUUACGGUACAUGCAUGAAGCAUUAAAUAAAUAUAGACAAAAAUAAAAACUAAUUACACAGUUUAUCUAUAAAUCGCGAGAUGAAUAUUUUAAGCCUAGUUAGUCUAUGAUUGGACAAUGUUUGUCAAAUAAAAACGAAAGUGCUACAGUCCCGAAAACCAAAAAGUUUUCGAAACUAAACAAUGCCUAAGACCUUGUUUAGUUCGCAAAAAUUUUUGGCUUUGGCUACUAUAGCACUUUCAUCUCUAUUUUAUAAUUAUUGUCCAAUCAAGGACUAACUACGCUCUAAAGAUUCGUCCGCAAAUUACAGACAAACUGUAUAAUUAAUUUUUGUUUUUAUUUAUAUUUAAUGCUCUAUGCAUACAUCCAAAGAUUCAAUUUGACAAAGAAUCUUGAAUUUUUUUAGAAACUAAACCAGACCUAACCUGUCCCUCCAAUACAAAGGAUUUGGCCCCUAGCUAGCUGAGCCAAACCACACUCCCUCCAGGAUUUACCAUGUGCACACUAGUGCGCGCGGGCCGCGGGGCCACUCUCGUGUUUGGAACAAUGACAUUUUCAAUUAGUGAAGGGAGUCUAAUACAAUCGAACAAAAAAAAUGAGUCUGAAAUGCAAGCGAAGAAUCAGCUCGUGUUUUAUGACUAAAAUCCAGAGAUCAUUGAGUGGAGGAAACUUUGGCCAAUUAGCGUGCACAGCAGAGCAGUUCUACUGGUAAGCUUAAAUGAAACAAGGAGAACAGAAAGUAAGUGCUGCCACCAAAAUCAAGAAACAAAGAAAGAAAAGAAAAGAAAAGAAAAUAAGAAAAAAAAUAAAAAAUUGCACAAGAGACUGAGCCAUAACUCCAACAAGGGGGCUAAACUUCUUUUGACCAUAUGAACCAGCAAGGACAAUUCUUUGAAAAAAAAAGUUGCUUGGAUUCAAGCAAUUCUUUGAAAAAAAGAUGCUUGGAUUCAAGCAAGUUGGCAGGCUUCCUUCUAAAGAUGAGUUUAUUUCUAGCUUACCGAACUGCCCAACAUAUUAGAACUAUCAAAUUCAUGACAAAGAAAGAAAGAAAGAAAGAAAGAAAGAAAGAAAGAAAGAAAUAAAUAAAUAAAUAAAGAAAUAAAGGAAGAAACGAGAGCCUAGCAGAUCUGAGCUGUAUCAACUGCCUGCUGCGCACCACAACCAUCUUUGAGGCUUAUCACUAGGAGAUUCCAACAGUUAUUGGCAAAACCUGCUCUCUGAGUUGAGCAAUCAUGCAGAAUCAGAGGACAACCGAUCCGAAUCAAGUAUGGUAUCAUAUUAUCAGAGACAGUCAGUGUAUCUAUAAUUAGGUAUGUAUGGAGUUUAUUCCUUUCCUAGCAACAAACCAUGGAGUAAUAUCAAGACUGGCCUAACAAUCAUACAGGAAUGUUUUUUUCUCCUUUUUUUUUAAAAAAAAAGGGGAAGAUGCUGGCAUCGGGUGCGGAUGAGAUGGAACCCCCUACUCGUCUCUCUAUACAUUAAAGAGACAAGUCCCAUCGCAGCAUCCCCUAAUUAGAUGACUGACUGACUAUACAUAUGAUGAGCUAUUAAUUAUGGUAGUAUAGCCUGCUGCUGCUCAGUUUGCUGCUUGCUACUACUGCACGAUGGAUAGAUGGAUGGAUAGAUGAUUCAUUUGCUGUUGUCGCGUGAUCCAGCAUAGCCGUAUGGGUUCUUGCUUGCCCAAUUCCACAGAUCUCUACACAUCUCCUCGAUCCCACUUUGCCCUGCAAGUUUUCAUAUUAUUUUCAUUAUUAAGGAUCGAGAGACAACAUGCUGAACCAUAUAAGCCACAACUAGCAAGCAUACUUACUUCCAUUUGAGCUCUUUCUUUGCCUUGGCAGUUGCGGCAUAGACAAUCUCUUGUCUCCAGGUCUUCACCCAGCAAACAUGGUUGUGGACGCUUUUAUUGGAAAGCAAUACACCAGGAAGAAGGCAACAGCAGCCUCUAGUGGCUAAGUAUCAGCCACAGUUGCCUGUUAGGAGGCUGUUCCUUUAAUUUAGGAUCUACGGAGGAGAAAUCGGAGUUCAGUUAUCAGCUUGUGGUGCACAGUCGGUCAUUAGGAUAUAUAGCUAAGGGCCAUCUGAUUAGGGAGGGUGAGCAGAGAUAAGAGUCAUCACAGUCAGAGCCACCCAGGGAGGGUGAACCAAUUCUAUUACUGCUGCCAUUUUUAGGUUUAGCCAUUGUAAUCAUUCUCCAAUUUGUCAAUAAAGAACAGCCAGAUUCCUAGCUCUAUCAAAACACCAGAGAAUUUUCUGUACAGAAUUCAGCCGGUCAACCAAUAACUCGGAUGAAUGAAACAUCCAUAUAUUGGUGAAGAUAUAUCCAUGCAUGAUGGUUUCAACGUUCAAAUAACUAAGGCUAAUUCGUUCAAGGUUGAUUUUACCUUCCCAGAAACCUUCUUCAAAUGCAGCCACCAUUUCCAACACCGAUGUCCCCUAUCCUGUCCCCAGAUUGUAUACUUCACACCCUAGUACCCUACAUGUACUACAACCAACCAAUAGAUGAGCAUUGCAUCAUUAGCGAGCUUCAGCUGACUGCUUGAAUAUACAACAGCUGAGUUGUCCAUGAAGUAUAAUUAGGAGGAUUCCCCGCGCAUUGCCACGGGUAUGAAGGAAUAUAAAUAUGUUAGAAUGUUAAUCACUAAGAAUCUAUAUGUAUGGUGUUGGUAAUGCAGCAAUAUAUGUUAAUAAAUGAUGUGGUUUGCUAAUGUGAAUAGCUUCAAUGAAGACAUAAUGACAUGUGUUAGUUGGAUGUGUUAGUGCAUGCUGAUGUGGACACUUUGCAUGACGAGAUAGUUGAAUGUGCCAGUGGGAUGUUCUAGUGUAUGCUGAUGUGGACACUUUGCAUGGCAAGAAAAAUAGCUAGUGGGGUUUAUCUUUACAAGAGAUGUACAAUUGGUAACCAACCUAUUUUGUCCGAUUCUUCAUAGAACUUCGUCAGGGCUGCUAUAUGGCCAUCAACCAGGUCAACAACGUGGAUGUAAUCACAUACCUAGCAGUUUUUUUAACAGCAAAAUAUACAUCAGUAAUGAGCUGAGUUUCUAGACUACAUAACAGAAUGAACACGGAGCAAACUAUUCAAAAACCCUCCAUAAAUCUUAUCAUCCCCAGACCCUGCUCCUAAUGUUCGCACUGAACACAUAUAUUAGAACAACAUAUUAGAAAAUAGAUAGAUAUGGUUCUGGAUUGUUUCAGAAAUAUAUAUUCUAGAACUUUUAGCUAGCUAGAUAGCACAUCUCAUGGAGGCAAAACUCAGCAGCUCAGAUCAAUUAGCAACCAGCAGAGGAGCGACUAUCUGGGAUAGUUGCCUGAGAAGGAUGGUGAUGGUUACCUAAGAAGGAUGCAAGGCAACAACUUCAUCAGAGCUCGUGUGGUUCAAUCAGUGGGAGGAGCAACAAGAAGCAGCGGUCAGAGGGCGAGGCUCUGAUAAGUUGACCUUGUGCUGUUUCAUAGGUGGAAUUAUUAUAUCCCCAACAAAGUAUAGUAUUGACUCCUAACUACUCUUAGCUUUUGCGGCCGAACUUAUGAGCCAUGACCUAAACAUGCAGGCCAAGAAAUAGCCUGUUCCUUUGUGAACUGCACACACAACGAGAAGUUUUCACACACAUGACCAAAAAGUACAGCCACACUCAUGAUAGUAAUUUAGUAUGUCUAUCCAUUUGUUUGAUCAACCAAGAUUCAUCACGGUCAUGGUGCACAAUUAGGAUUUAGGACCAUUAAUGCCAAGGUUGUCUGCCCAAAGUAUUGUUGGAAGAAUGGAAGUGGUUAAAUAUGAGUUUGUCGGAAAAGAAAACAUUCUUUAGAUUUUAGAACAAAAUGACUAAAUGAGCAAUUAAUCCAAGUAAGCUUGUGUGUCCGAACCAAAAAAUAUGCAUCGAUAUCUACCCAGGUCAGGAAUCUUAAAUGUCAUCAAAUCCAAGUUAGUCCCAUUAGUAACAUGAUCCUGGUCCCAAGUUGAAAUCACUAGAAAAGGCAGGAUACCAUGAAGGAAAGAGAAUCAUAAACAUAAGUAUGAGGAUCAUAAUCAAAGUACAGAACAGAAUACUUGUCGAAGCACCACAUCAUUUUGAAUGCUCAGAUUUGCCCCAGUAUCAACACAAUAUUUGUAUAAGCACCAUGUACUCCCUCCCUCUCUAAAUGAACUAAGUAGGAACGUUCAUUCGAAUAUAUACAAUAUACUACACCACCACAGCAGCAAUGGCAACAAUUAGUUGCAAACUAGAUCCUAGUUUGGCAGCAAAUCAAGCAAAAUAACAAAGCAAACAAUUCAGGAUGUUGCAAAGUAAUAGCCCUAUAGGGUUGGGACGUCUGAUCAUUAGACACUGAAGAACAGUUCCAAACAAGAAAGAAAGGUGAAUAGACAGGCAUCAAAAAAACAUCAGAAAAGAAAACGUAUAGGAACUACCAAAAUGGAUCAAUGCUGCAGCACGGCUAUAAUAGUUGUGAUGGCCUCUUAAGUUCAAACUCAUCCAGCUCCAACUUGAAGAGUGCAUGAUCUCAACAUCUCAUGAAACUACUGCAAUAAAUUCUGGGAUCAACAAACUUAACCAAAAAUAUCCGUCAUGCAAACCAAGGACAAUGCAAACACUGACAGCAGAAUCAACGGCAAAAAUUAGGAAACAUUUCAACCAACAAAUCAACAAAAUUCAAAUGGGAAUACAUAGCAUUAAGAGACAAGCACAACAAAAGGAAAAAGGAUACAACGUCCUUCUCUAUUCUUUUUUUCUCUUUUUUUGUGUGUAUUUGGGGGGUUGGGGGGCUCAGCUUCGCCUUUGCUCAUUCAUUCAACCAUAUCCUCAUCAUCUCUGAUCACCAGAGCAACUUGUUCUGAUAAAUGAACCUGCCCUGGUUAUCACCCAUGAAGAAUGGCAUGACCAUCCAAGGACAAAGCCACUACCGUUAGAACAUAAUUGAAAAGGUUUCCGAGAGAAAGAAGAGGAUUCCAGUUUGGUUCCCAUAGCAGCCUUGAUUGCUCAAAGGCGCUUAUGUCAGCCAUGGUUGUUGAUCAUUGCCCGAGAUGAGAAUAUUUUUUACUUUCUUCAUUCUUGAGGGGCACUUCGGUACGAACUUAUGAGAUGGAACUAACUUGGCAUAUUAUUAGUCCCACUAACAAUGACCCAGGUCCCAGGUUCAAAUCCAGCAGGA